rnacentral:rRNA from 1 species
AUAUUGGAGGGCAAGUCUGGUGCCAGCAGCCGCGGUAAUUCCAGCUCCAAUAGCGUAUAUUAAAGUUGUUGCGGUUAAAAAGCUCGUAGUUGGAUCUCAGUUCAAGCUAUGCGGUCCACUUGUUGGUGGCUACUGCUUAGCUGAACAUUUUACUGAGCUGCCUCUUGAUGCUCUUCACCGAGUGUCAUGAGCGAUCAGUACGUUUACUUUGAAAAAAUUAGAGUGCUCAAAGCAGGCGUAACGCCCGUAUAAUGUUGCAUGGAAUAAUGGAAUAGGACCUCGGUUCUAUUCUGUUGGUCUCCGGAACCUGAGGUAAUGAUUAAGAGGGACAGACGGGGGCAUUCGUAUUGCGGCGCUAGAGGUGAAAUUCUUGGACCGUCGCAAGACGAACUACAGCGAAAGCAUUUGCCAAGAAUGUUUUCAUUAAUCAAGAACGAAAGUUAGAGGUUCGAAGGCGAUCAGAUACCGCCCUAGUUCUAACCAUAAACGAUGCCA